rnacentral:rRNA from 1 species
GAAUCGCUAGUAAUCGUGGAUCAGAAUGUCACGGUGAAUACGUUCCCGGGCCUUGUACACACCGCCCGUCACACCAUGGGAGUGGACUGCACCAGAAGUGGUUAGCCUGACGCAAGAGGGCGAUCACCACGGUGUGGUUCAUGACUGGGGUGAAGUCGUAACAAGGUAGCCGUAGGGGAACCUGCGGCUGGAUCACCUCCUU